rnacentral:rRNA from 1 species
AUGAACGCUGGCGGCGUGCCUAAUCCAUGCAAGUCGAGCGAACAGACGAGGAGCUUGCUCCUCUGACGUUAGCGGCGGACGGGUGGGUAACACGUGGAUAACCUACCUAUAAGACUGGGAUAACUUCGGGAAACCGGAGCUAAUACCGGAUAAUAUAUUGAACCGCAUGGUUCAAUAGUGAAAGACGGUUUUGCUGUCACUUAUAGAUGGAUCCGCGCCGCAUUAGCUAGUUGGUAAGGUAACGGCUUACCAAGGCAACGAUGCGUAGCCGACCUGAGAGGGUGAUCGGCCACACUGGAACUGAGACACGGUCCAGACUCCUACGGGAGGCAGCAGUAGGGAAUCUUCCGCAAUGGGCGAAAGCCUGACGGAGCAACGCCGCGUGAGUGAUGAAGGUCUUCGGAUCGUAAAACUCUGUUAUUAGGGAAGAACAAAUGUGUAAGUAACUAUGCACGUCUUGACGGUACCUAAUCAGAAAGCCACGGCUAACUACGUG